GGAAGCAACAACGAUGGCAAGAAUAAUUUCUAGGAUUAAUAGGACGAUGGAUCCCGCCAUCGAGUAUGAUUCAGUAUGAUGUGAAGGCUUACAUUUCACUCGGGAGAGGCUCUGAAGGAGAUAAUGGCAGGGAUCCAUGAGGGGAGAUCAAUGCCAUGUUUGAGCUGCCUAAUAUGUGCAACAGAUGCAAAACAUGUCUUGAUUUGCCACCAUGUUGCAAUUACAAGAGUAGUAACUGAUUUAGUACUAUGUUAAUGCCACAAUUCCACGUUUUGAACAGGACAAGGUGACACUGAACAGUACACACUCAAAUGUAGAUUAACUUCGGCCAUCUCAUGCAGUCAUGC